rnacentral:rRNA from 1 species
CCUACGGGUGGCAGCAGUGGGGAAUAUUGGACAAUGGGGGCAACCCUGAUCCAGCCAUGCCGCGUGUGUGAAGAAGGCCCUCGGGUUGUAAAGCACUUUCAGUGAGGAAGAACGCCUGGUGGUUAAUACCCAUCAGGAAAGACAUCACUCACAGAAGAAGCACCGGCUAACUCCGUGCCAGCAGCCGCGGUAAUACGGAGGGUGCGAGCGUUAAUCGGAAUUACUGGGCGUAAAGCGCGCGUAGGUGGCUUGAUAAGCCGGUUGUGAAAGCCCCGGGCUCAACCUGGGAACGGCAUCCGGAACUGUCAUGCUAGAGUGCAGGAGAGGAAGGUAGAAUUCCCGGUGUAGCGGUGAAAUGCGUAGAGAUCGGGAGGAAUACCAGUGGCGAAGGCGGCCUUCUGGACUGACACUGACACUGAGGUGCGAAAGCGUGGGUAGCAAACAGGAUUAGAUACCCUGGUAGUC